rnacentral:lncRNA from 1 species
UGCCCGUAUAAGAAGUGGACUGAUCCAGGAGAGUUUGUGUUGGAGUCAUAUGGACCGAGGCCCCUGUGUCUAAUAACCAAUCUGAGGCCUUAUUUUCAGAAAGGGUACACGAAGAAUUGAGGGCUUCUGCAAGUCGUGCCUCAGGGGUAUGACCAAGGUGUUCAUAUCGUUGCUGGUACCGAUCCACAUAGUGACCCUCAGUGCAACAAAUUUGGCAACGCAGGGGUCGUCUGUUGGAUAAAUGUCCCUGUCCUCGUCCAUGAUCGCUAGUCCGAUUGUGUUGGUUGAGAGAAGAAAAGUUUCACUGAUUAAACUUCGCAGGGUUGCAAUUGGUGGCUGUGAACGCCGUAGGGGAUGGUGUGGCCUGCUCUAGGGAUUUUUGAAAUAGCUCAAAGCUCUCUGCCUUUGGCACAAAAUCUGGAAAACAUGGCAAAGGGGUAGGGCCAUUUAGGCAGUUGAGAAGCUCGAGAAUUUCGAGCCGAGACGUUGAAGGAACUAGUGCACUUUGUCGGUAGCGUCAACGGGUCGUUCGAUUGCAUAGAGUUGAUUGCAGAGGGCCUAGAAAGCACGAGCAUGCUUCAAAACAGACUUGGUGCUUCGUUUCAUCAAUUACAAAUCAUUCUUAAGACGAAUUUCAAAGGCUUCAGAGUGGUGGAUGAAGGUGUUUUCUAAGGCAACCUACACUUCACUUAAAGAGGAGAGUCCCGCUACUUCCGCCAUGGGCUCCUUGGUGAGGGAGGACAAUAGAAAGUUGAGGAGGCGUUGAUCGGUUUGUUUCCAUGCCAUAUGUUUGAUAUUUGACGUUUGAGAUUUUGAAGGGCAAAACGGGGUAGGGUUCCUAUAGUUCCAUCCACAUAGCUGAUGAGUUCUUGGCUUUCCAAAAGGGGAAGCAACUGGCUCUUCUGCAGGAGAUAGUUGGAAGAGGAUAGUUUGAUUAUAACCAUGUGGAUGAGUGUUUUGAAAGGAAGAAGAUUGGAGGAUGGUUCGGUAGCCAUUGGAAAAGAGGCAGGAUCGUGUGAGGGAGCUUAAUCCGUAGAGUGCUGUGAUACCAUGAGAUGUUUGGAAGACCACCACGCUUUCUAGUGGUGAGUUGAUUUCAUAUUUAUAUCCAUAUUUACAUAAUCAUAUAUGGUAUGAUUAAAAUAAAAUGAAAAUAAUACAAUUGAAUGGAAAGAAUUAAGCAAACAAGGUGGAAGCUACAAUUAUGGGUCAAAUGAGAAUGCAAAUGGAAAGUCUUGAAUUAAGGUUGAGGAUCCUCGACAAAUGUUUUGCGUAGCAUGAGAGGUGAGCAAAAAAAUUUGUGUUUACUUCAUGUAUGGAUGUUUAUGGUGGAACAUCCGGUAACGAGUAACGUGACUAAUGGUAAAAUAUCAAUAAUCAGGAUGAAGCUUGUUGAUGCUUGAAAUUUGCUUCUUCCAAACGUUUUUUUUUUUCUUCAAACAAAUCAACAAGCAUAAGGAGAAGUGUCGAUUUCAACUUCUACCUGCAUAGGUCUUUCUAUUUUCAAAUCAAAAAACCCCCAACCAUCAAGUGACGUAAAUAUAAAGGGACUCUUAUUAUUAUUAUUAUUAUAGUAAGUUAAUUCACAAACCUACCCUAUAUUUCCUAUUUGUUACCAAUAUGGUAUUAAUUUGUAAUAUUUAAAAAGUUGUGAACCGCAGAGAAAUUAAAACUUUCCUUAUUUCUACCAUCAUCUUUUUUUUUUCUUUUUUCUUUUUUUCCUUCAUUUAUAUCCUUCAAGUCCCUCUGGAAUCUAUAGGCACUCCCAAUAAUUUCUCGCUCAUCAUACUCACUUUGAAUUCGAGUUAACUCGUUCAUAUCGGUCUUUGCAAACUGAUUUUAUUCCUGGUACUGCUUCCCCAACAUGUUUACAUAAUUAUCUUGGUCUUCUGGUUUGUUUAAUAUUCUUGUUUCUUCAAUUUUUUGAAUUUGAAUUAACUGGGCUUUUUCAAUUUGAUCGGAUAGUGGUGGUUACAUAAUUGAAUUGUGCUAGAUUUUUUUCUUGAUCAAAGUAUUUGACGAUUUUUUAUUCUGGGGUUCUGUGAGCUGUCAGUAAAUUUGUUAAGAAAAUGCUGUUGUUCCUAGAGUUUAACGUUAUUCCUUCGAAAUCAAUCCGACAGAAUCACCCGAAUGUAAAGAAUUGAUCAACAGGAUCCAAAAAGUAAUUCGAGCCCACCGACUUGACGAUAUUUCCUUAAAACGAAUUUGCUGCCUUCAAUGGUGCUAAAAGCGUCUAGCAAUCUUUUUCAGGAUAGAACUAAUUUUCGUCUCCUACGGAAGCAGCACUGCAAUCUGCAGGAGUUCCAACGAACUCAACGAAGUGUGUUUUACUUCGAGACAAUAUCAGAACGAGAGAGAGGGGAAUGAGAUUCAAAGCACAGAAAGUUGGCAAUAAAAAUGGUGUAAAUUUUCUGGUAGAGAGGUUGACUAUUUAUAGACUUGUUUAUGACCAUUCGAACAGUCAUCACCUUUUAGACAAACCUCAAAAUUCGAACAGACAUACUGUUUUUAAAAGUCGCGUCUGUUAAGUCGGUUAACAGUCGACUGUUUGGUUGGUAAAUAGACGACUGUUAAAAGAAAAAAAACACCCGGAAUAAGCCAAAAUUUAAAUUUCAUAAUGUAUCCAAGAAUUUGAUUAUUUACAAUUUGGUCCAAAAUUUUAAAUAAAUUUUGUCCAAAAAGUUAAUAUAGUGCAAAGGUUCAUCCGCACUCGCACCGAACUGGACCGGACUCGGACACGGGCACGUGCUUGUGCCGUGCCGAGCCGAGCCGGUCGGAAGGACGGCGGCGACGGCGCUCGCGUGUGGGUUUAUGACCGAACCCAAUAGGAUAUAGGUCUUCCCCCUUCCAAAAACUAUUGGUACCCCUUGGGGCCCAAACCCAAUUCCAAAUUUUCACCUUAUAAACUACACCAAAGUUUCCUAACUUUCCUAUAUGGGAUAAGUGUUUAGAAAAUCAAAUUCUUCCAUAAUACUUAGUUUAUGUAGGUUACUUUAACACUUAAUAUUUCAUUCAAUUUUAAAUGGUUUUCGAUAAAUAAAUAUAUCAUGUUAAUUAUCUCGCGGAGUAGAACGUGAAUAUGUUAGGUCCCGUAUUAAUUAAAAGGUGGGUCCCACUGAAAUUUGGGCUCAAAUUUGACCCAUUUCAUAACUAUUUUUUUUCCAACGACCCCUCACAUAAAUGAAAUAUGUUGGCCUUAUUCCAAACGAUAACAUCUGAUAUGUUUUUCAAAGAAAAAAUUGAAUAAGACUAUAUUGGGAUAAGUAGUCAAUGACUUUGAACUUUCCCUAGUAAAAUCUAUCGGAUUUCCUUAGCCAAUCAAUAGCAAGUUGCUUUAAACAGUCAGCCGUUUAUGGAAACCUAAACAAUAGAAGUCACACAGUUUUCUUCGAACACAGUUGGUUCUCACGUUUGUGUCCAUUUUGACCUUGGACACCUCCUGGUUUAUGAGUGGUUUUUAGAGAAUUCAUCUUCACCUAAUUCUCUUAGAAGCGGCCCCUUCUCACUCACUUGGGUGAUUUCCAUAAGAGUAUUCUGCUAUACUCCACUUGAACGAAUCAAGAUAUAGAAAUCAUUAAAAGCGUAUCUUAACCUAUUUCGCGGCAGCUGGGCACUGGCUCAUCAUAGGAAUGGGUAGAAGUAAAAUCUUCCUAGUGCAUACUAAGUUUUUCACUGUUUGGUUGUCCCAUUGAACCUAUAUCUUGGGAUCUCCAGUCAACUAGGUUGAGUUGCCACCAUGGAAACUUUUGAUUAUUUUAUUAGUUUUAAUUCCAUCCCCUUCGAUGAACUUUCGACUUGCUCUCUUGUUAAACUUUUAGUUAGCGGAUCCGCAAUAUUCACUUUUGAUUUCACACUCUAUAGAGAUAAUGUCUGUAGAGAGCAAUUGUCUAACGGUAUUGUGUCUACGACGUAUAUGUCGAGAUUUACCGUUGUACAUUGCAUUUUGUGCCCUACCAAUUGUUGAUUGAUUGUCGUAAUGGAUACAUAUAGCAGGCACAGGUUUUGUCCAACAUGGAAUAUCUUCUAGAAAGUUUCGUAGCCACUCGGCUUCUUCUCCGGCUUUGUCUAAUGCAAUGAAUUCAAAUUUCAUUGUUGAUCUAGCUAUACAUGUCUGUUUUGAAGAUUUCAAUGAUAUUGCAGCACCUCCAAGUGUAAAGACAUAUCCACUUGUUGAUUUGGAGUCUUUAGUAUCUGAUAUCCAAUUUGCAUCACAGUAUCCUUCAAGUACUGCUGGAUAUCUCGAAUAGUGCAAUCAAAAAUUUUGGGUAUGUUUUAAAUACCCCAAAACUCUAACAAUAGCCUUCCAAUGAUCAGUGCUUGGAUUACUUUGUAUAUCGACUUAGCCUACUAAUUGAAUAGGCAAUAUCAGGUCGAGUGCAAUUCAUGACAUACAUUAAACUGUCAACAAUACAAGAAUAUUCCAAUUGAGACUUACUAUCACCAGUAUUGGAAACAAGAUGCAUACUAACAUUCAUAGGUGUUUUCAUAGGAAUAAUAUUAUAUUUCUUAAAUUUAUCAAGAAUCUUCUCAAUGUAGUGUGAUUGAGACAAUAUGAGACCAUCAGAUGUUCUAGAAAUUUUAAUUCCUAAUAUAACAUCGGCCACCCCUAAAUCCUUCAUUUCAAAUUUACUUGUUAGCAUCCUUUUUGUAGUUUGAAUUAUAGUAUCAUUAUUACACAUAAUCAACAUGUCAUCUAUAUAUAAACAUACCAUGACAUAUCCAUUUGGAGUGUUCCUGACAUAAACACAUUUAUCACACUCGUUAAUUUUGAAACCAUUUGACAUCAUAACCAUGUCAAAUUUUUCAUGCCAUUUCUUAGGAGCUUGCUUUAAUUCAUAUAGCGAUUUAACAAGUCGACACACUUUCUUUUCCUGCCCUGAGGCUACAAAUCCUUCAGGUUGCUCCAUAUAAAUUUCUUCAUCUAAUUUCACAUUCAAAAAUGCCGUUUUAACAUCCAUUUGAUGUAUAUCCAAACCAUUCAAUGCUGCUAUUGCAAUAAGCAUACGUAUGGAUUUUAUUCUUGUCACAGGAGAAUAAGUAUCGAAAUAAUCAAGACCUUCUUUUUGCUUGUAGCCUUUAGCGAUAAGUCUUGCUUUAUAUUUGUCAAUUGAUCCAUCUGCUUUCAUUUUCCUUUUGAAAAUUCAUUUACAUCCCAAAGGAUUAUUCCUAGAGUUUAACGUUAUUCUUUCGAAACCAAUCCGACAGAAUCAUCUGAAUGUAAAGAAUUGAUCAACAGGAUCCAAAAAGUAAUUCGAGCCCACCGACUUCACGAUGUUUCCUUAAAACGAAUUUGCCGCCUUCAAUAGUGCUAAAGGCGUCUAGCAAUCGUUUUCCAGGAUAGAACGAAUUUUCGUCUGCUACAGAAGCAGCACUGCAAUCUGUAGAAGUUCCAACGAACUCAACGAAGUAUGUUUUACUUCGAGACAAUAUCAGAACGAGAGAGAGGGGAAUGAGAUUCAAAGCACAGAAAGUUGGCAAUGAAAAUGGUGUAAAUUUUCUGGUAGAGAGGCUAGCUAUUUAUAGACUUGUCCGUGGCCAUUCGAACAGUCAUCACCUUUCAGACAAACCUCAAAAUUCGAACAGACAUGUUUUUAAAAGUCGCGUCUUUAAUAGUCGGCUAACAGUCGACUGUUUGGUCGGUAAACAGACGACUGUUAAAAGAAAAUAAAACACCCGGAAUAAGCCAAAAUUUAAAUUUUAUAAUGUACCCAAUAAUUUGAUUAUUUACAAUUUGGCCCAAAAUUUUAAAUAAAUUUUGUCCAAAAAGUUAAUAUAGUGCAAAGGUCCACCGGUACCCGCACCGGCACCGAACCGGACCAGACUCGAACACGGGCACGUGCUCGUGUCGUGCUGAGCAGAGUGGAGCCAGCCGGCCGGUCGGACGAAUGGUGGCGACGGCGCGCGCGUGUGGUUUAUGACCGAACCCAAUAGGAUAUAGGUCUUCCCCCUUCCAAAGACUAUUGGUACCCCUUGGGGCCCAAACCUUAUUCCAAACUUUCACCUUAUAAGCCAUACCAAAGUUUCCUAACUUUCCUAUGUGGGAUAAGUGUUUGGAAAAUCAAAUUCUUCCAUAAUACUUAGUUUAUGUGGGUUACUUUAACACUUAAUAUUUCAUUCAAUUUUAAAUGAUUUUCGAUAAAAAAAAAUAUAUCACGUUCAUCAUCUCGCGGAGUAGAACGUGAAUAUGCUUGGUCCCGUAUUAAUUAAAAGGUGGGUCGCACUGAAAUUUGGGCUCAAAGUUGACCCAUUUCAUAACCAUUUUUUCCAACAAUCCUCCGCAUGAAUGAAAUAUGUUGGCCUUAUUCCAAACGAUAACAUCUGAUAUGUUUUUCAAAGAAGAAAUUGAAUAAGACUGCAUUGGGAUAAGUAGUCAAUGACUUUGAACUUUCCCUAGUAAAAUCUAUCAGAUUUCCUUAGCCAAUCAGUAGUAAGUUGCUUUGAACAGUCAGCCGUUUAUGGAAACCUAAACAAUAGAAGUCACACAGUUUUCUUCGAACACAGUUGGUUCUCACGUUUGUGUCCAUUUUGGCCUUGGACACCUCCUGGUUCAUGAGUGAUUUUUAGAGAAUUCAUGUUUACCUAAUUCUCUUAGAAGCGGCCCCUUCUCACUCACAUAGGUGAUUUCCAUAAAGAGUAUUCUGCUAUACUCCACUUGAACAAAUCAAGAUAUAGAAAUCAUUAAAAGCGUAUCUUAACCUAUUUCGCGGCAGCUGGGCACUGGCUCAUCAUAGGAAUGGGUAGAAGUAAAAUCUUCCCAGUGCAUACUAAGUUUUUCACAGUUCGGUUGUCCCAUUGAACCUAGAUCUUGGGAUCUCCAGUCAACUAGGUUGGGUUGCCACCAUGAAAACUUUUGAUUAUUUUAUUAGUUUUAAUCCCAUCCCCUUCGAUGAACUUUCGACUUGCUCUCUUGUUAAACUUUUAGUUAGCGGAUCCGCAAUAUUCUCUUUUGAUUUCACAUACUCUAUAGAGAUAAUGCCUGUAGAGAGCAAUUGUCUAACAGUAUUGUGUCUACGACGUAUAUGUCGAGAUUUACCGUUGUACAUUGUAUUUUGUGCCCUUCCAAUUGCUGAUUGACUAUCGCAAUGGAUGCAUAUAGCAGGCACUGGUUUUAUCCAACAUGGAAUAUCUUCUAGAAAGUUUCGUAGCCAUUCGGCUUCUUCUCCAGCUUUGUCUAAUGCAAUGAAUUCAGAUUCCAUUGUUGAUCUAGCUAUACAUGUCUGUUUUGAAGAUUUCCAUGAUAUUGCAGCACCUCCAAGUGUAAAGACAUAUCCACUUGUUGAUUUGGAGUCUUUAGUAUCUGAUAUCCAAUUUGCAUCACAGUAUCCUUCAAGUACUGCUGGAUAUCUCGAAUAGUGCAAUCAAAAAUUUUGGGUAUGUUUUAAAUACCCCAAAACUCUAACAAUAGCCUUCCAAUGAUCAGUGCUUGGAUUACUUUGUAUAUCGACUUAGCCUACUAAUUGAAUAGGCAAUAUCAGGUCGAGUGCAAUUCAUGACAUACAUUAAACUGUCAACAAUACAAGAGUAUUCCAAUUGAGACUUACUAUCACCAGUAUUGGAAACAAGAUGCAUACUAACAUUCAUAGGUGUUUUCAUAGGAAUAAUAUUAUAUUUCUUAAAUUUAUCAAGAAUCUUCUCAAUGUAGUGUGAUUGAGACAAUAUGAGACCAUCAGAUGUUCUAGAAAUUUUAAUUCCUAAUAUAACAUCGGCCACCCCUAAAUCCUUCAUUUCAAAUUUACUUGUUAGCAUCCUUUUUGUAGUUUGAAUUAUAGUAUCAUUAUUACACAUAAUCAACAUGUCAUCUAUAUAUAAACAUACCAUGACAUAUCCAUUUGGAGUGUUCCUGACAUAAACACAUUUAUCACACUCGUUAAUUUUGAAACCAUUUGACAUCAUAACCAUGUCAAAUUUUUCAUGCCAUUUCUUAGGAGCUUGCUUUAAUUCAUAUAGCGAUUUAACAAGUCGACACACUUUCUUUUCCUGCCCUGAGGCUACAAAUCCUUCAGGUUGCUCCAUAUAAAUUUCUUCAUCUAAUUUCACAUUCAAAAAUGCCGUUUUAACAUCCAUUUGAUGUAUAUCCAAACCAUUCAAUGCUGCUAUUGCAAUAAGCAUACGUAUGGAUUUUAUUCUUGUCACAGGAGAAUAAGUAUCGAAAUAAUCAAGACCUUCUUUUUGCUUGUAGCCUUUAGCGAUAAGUCUUGCUUUAUAUUUGUCAAUUGAUCCAUCUGCUUUCAUUUUCCUUUUGAAAAUUCAUUUACAUCCCAAAGGAUUAUUCCUAGAGUUUAACGUUAUUCUUUCGAAACCAAUCCGACAGAAUCAUCUGAAUGUAAAGAAUUGAUCAACAGGAUCCAAAAAGUAAUUCGAGCCCACCGACUUCACGAUGUUUCCUUAAAACGAAUUUGCCGCCUUCAAUAGUGCUAAAGGCGUCUAGCAAUCGUUUUCCAGGAUAGAACGAAUUUUCGUCUGCUACAGAAGCAGCACUGCAAUCUGUAGAAGUUCCAACGAACUCAACGAAGUAUGUUUUACUUCGAGACAAUAUCAGAACGAGAGAGAGGGGAAUGAGAUUCAAAGCACAGAAAGUUGGCAAUGAAAAUGGUGUAAAUUUUCUGGUAGAGAGGCUAGCUAUUUAUAGACUUGUCCGUGGCCAUUCGAACAGUCAUCACCUUUCAGACAAACCUCAAAAUUCGAACAGACAUGUUUUUAAAAGUCGCGUCUUUAAUAGUCGGCUAACAGUCGACUGUUUGGUCGGUAAACAGACGACUGUUAAAAGAAAAUAAAACACCCGGAAUAAGCCAAAAUUUAAAUUUUAUAAUGUACCCAAUAAUUUGAUUAUUUACAAUUUGGCCCAAAAUUUUAAAUAAAUUUUGUCCAAAAAGUUAAUAUAGUGCAAAGGUCCACCGGUACCCGCACCGGCACCGAACCGGACCAGACUCGAACACGGGCACGUGCUCGUGUCGUGCUGAGCAGAGUGGAGCCAGCCGGCCGGUCGGACGAAUGGUGGCGACGGCGCGCGCGUGUGGUUUAUGACCGAACCCAAUAGGAUAUAGGUCUUCCCCCUUCCAAAGACUAUUGGUACCCCUUGGGGCCCAAACCUUAUUCCAAACUUUCACCUUAUAAGCCAUACCAAAGUUUCCUAACUUUCCUAUGUGGGAUAAGUGUUUGGAAAAUCAAAUUCUUCCAUAAUACUUAGUUUAUGUGGGUUACUUUAACACUUAAUAUUUCAUUCAAUUUUAAAUGAUUUUCGAUAAAAAAAAAUAUAUCACGUUCAUCAUCUCGCGGAGUAGAACGUGAAUAUGCUUGGUCCCGUAUUAAUUAAAAGGUGGGUCGCACUGAAAUUUGGGCUCAAAGUUGACCCAUUUCAUAACCAUUUUUUCCAACAAUCCUCCGCAUGAAUGAAAUAUGUUGGCCUUAUUCCAAACGAUAACAUCUGAUAUGUUUUUCAAAGAAGAAAUUGAAUAAGACUGCAUUGGGAUAAGUAGUCAAUGACUUUGAACUUUCCCUAGUAAAAUCUAUCAGAUUUCCUUAGCCAAUCAGUAGUAAGUUGCUUUGAACAGUCAGCCGUUUAUGGAAACCUAAACAAUAGAAGUCACACAGUUUUCUUCGAACACAGUUGGUUCUCAUGUUUGUGUCCAUUUUGGCCUUGGACACCUCCUGGUUCAUGAGUGAUUUUUAGAGAAUUCAUCUUCACCUAAUUCUCUUAGAAGCGGCCUCUUCUCACUCACAUAGGUGAUUUCCAUAAAGAAUAUUCUGUUAUACUCCACUUGAACGAAUCAAAAUAUAGAAAUCAUUAAAAGCGUAUCUUAACCUAUUUUGCGGCAGUUGGGCACUGGCUCAUUAUAGGAAUGGGUAGAAGUAAAAUCUUUCCAGUGCAUACUAAGUUUUUUACAGUUCGGUUGUCCCAUUGAACAUAGAUAUUGGGAUCUCCAGUCAACUAGGUUGGGUUGCCACCAUGGAAACUUUUGAUUAUUUUAUUCGUUUUAAUCCCAUCCCUUUCGAUGAACUUUCGACUUGCUCUCUUGUUAAACUUUUAGUUAACGGAUCCGCAAUAUUCUCUUUUGAUUUCACAUACUCUAUAGAGAUAAUGUCUGUAGAGAGCAAUUGUCUAACAGUAUUGUGUCUACAACGUAUAUGUCGAGAUUUACUGUUGUACAUUUACCAAUUGCUGAUUGACUAUCGCAAUGGAUACAUAUAGCAGGCACAGGUUUUGUCCAACAUGGAAUAUCUUCUAGAAAGUUUCGUAGCCAUUCGGCUUCUUCUCCGGCUUUGUCUAAUGCAAUGAAUUCAAAUUCCAUUGUUGAUCUAGCUAUACAUGUCUGUUUUGAAGAUUUCAAUGAUAUUGCAGCACCUCCAAGUGUAAAGACAUAUCCACUUGUUGAUUUGGAGUCUUUAGUAUCUGAUAUCCAAUUUGCAUCACAGUAUCCUUCAAGUACUGCUGGAUAUCUCGAAUAGUGCAAUCAAAAAUUUUGGGUAUGUUUUAAAUACCCCAAAACUCUAACAAUAGCCUUCCAAUGAUCAGUGCUUGGAUUACUUUGUAUAUCGACUUAGCCUACUAAUUGAAUAGGCAAUAUCAGGUCGAGUGCAAUUCAUGACAUACAUUAAACUGUCAACAAUACAAGAGUAUUCCAAUUGAGACUUACUAUCACCAGUAUUGGAAACAAGAUGCAUACUAACAUUCAUAGGUGUUUUCAUAGGAAUAAUAUUAUAUUUCUUAAAUUUAUCAAGAAUCUUCUCAAUGUAGUGUGAUUGAGACAAUAUGAGACCAUCAGAUGUUCUAGAAAUUUUAAUUCCUAAUAUAACAUCGGCCACCCCUAAAUCCUUCAUUUCAAAUUUACUUGUUAGCAUCCUUUUUGUAGUUUGAAUUAUAGUAUCAUUAUUACACAUAAUCAACAUGUCAUCUAUAUAUAAACAUACCAUGACAUAUCCAUUUGGAGUGUUCCUGACAUAAACACAUUUAUCACACUCGUUAAUUUUGAAACCAUUUGACAUCAUAACCAUGUCAAAUUUUUCAUGCCAUUUCUUAGGAGCUUGCUUUAAUUCAUAUAGCGAUUUAACAAGUCGACACACUUUCUUUUCCUGCCCUGAGGCUACAAAUCCUUCAGGUUGCUCCAUAUAAAUUUCUUCAUCUAAUUUCACAUUCAAAAAUGCCGUUUUAACAUCCAUUUGAUGUAUAUCCAAACCAUUCAAUGCUGCUAUUGCAAUAAGCAUACGUAUGGAUUUUAUUCUUGUCACAGGAGAAUAAGUAUCGAAAUAAUCAAGACCUUCUUUUUGCUUGUAGCCUUUAGCGAUAAGUCUUGCUUUAUAUUUGUCAAUUGAUCCAUCUGCUUUCAUUUUCCUUUUGAAAAUUCAUUUACAUCCCAAAGGAUUAUUCCUAGAGUUUAACGUUAUUCUUUCGAAACCAAUCCGACAGAAUCAUCUGAAUGUAAAGAAUUGAUCAACAGGAUCCAAAAAGUAAUUCGAGCCCACCGACUUCACGAUGUUUCCUUAAAACGAAUUUGCCGCCUUCAAUAGUGCUAAAGGCGUCUAGCAAUCGUUUUCCAGGAUAGAACGAAUUUUCGUCUGCUACAGAAGCAGCACUGCAAUCUGUAGAAGUUCCAACGAACUCAACGAAGUAUGUUUUACUUCGAGACAAUAUCAGAACGAGAGAGAGGGGAAUGAGAUUCAAAGCACAGAAAGUUGGCAAUGAAAAUGGUGUAAAUUUUCUGGUAGAGAGGCUAGCUAUUUAUAGACUUGUCCGUGGCCAUUCGAACAGUCAUCACCUUUCAGACAAACCUCAAAAUUCGAACAGACAUGUUUUUAAAAGUCGCGUCUUUAAUAGUCGGCUAACAGUCGACUGUUUGGUCGGUAAACAGACGACUGUUAAAAGAAAAUAAAACACCCGGAAUAAGCCAAAAUUUAAAUUUUAUAAUGUACCCAAUAAUUUGAUUAUUUACAAUUUGGCCCAAAAUUUUAAAUAAAUUUUGUCCAAAAAGUUAAUAUAGUGCAAAGGUCCACCGGUACCCGCACCGGCACCGAACCGGACCAGACUCGAACACGGGCACGUGCUCGUGUCGUGCUGAGCAGAGUGGAGCCAGCCGGCCGGUCGGACGAAUGGUGGCGACGGCGCGCGCGUGUGGUUUAUGACCGAACCCAAUAGGAUAUAGGUCUUCCCCCUUCCAAAGACUAUUGGUACCCCUUGGGGCCCAAACCUUAUUCCAAACUUUCACCUUAUAAGCCAUACCAAAGUUUCCUAACUUUCCUAUGUGGGAUAAGUGUUUGGAAAAUCAAAUUCUUCCAUAAUACUUAGUUUAUGUGGGUUACUUUAACACUUAAUAUUUCAUUCAAUUUUAAAUGAUUUUCGAUAAAAAAAAAUAUAUCACGUUCAUCAUCUCGCGGAGUAGAACGUGAAUAUGCUUGGUCCCGUAUUAAUUAAAAGGUGGGUCGCACUGAAAUUUGGGCUCAAAGUUGACCCAUUUCAUAACCAUUUUUUCCAACAAUCCUCCGCAUGAAUGAAAUAUGUUGGCCUUAUUCCAAACGAUAACAUCUGAUAUGUUUUUCAAAGAAGAAAUUGAAUAAGACUGCAUUGGGAUAAGUAGUCAAUGACUUUGAACUUUCCCUAGUAAAAUCUAUCAGAUUUCCUUAGCCAAUCAGUAGUAAGUUGCUUUGAACAGUCAGCCGUUUAUGGAAACCUAAACAAUAGAAGUCACACAGUUUUCUUCGAACACAGUUGGUUCUCAUGUUUGUGUCCAUUUUGGCCUUGGACACCUCCUGGUUCAUGAGUGAUUUUUAGAGAAUUCAUCUUCACCUAAUUCUCUUAGAAGCGGCCUCUUCUCACUCACAUAGGUGAUUUCCAUAAAGAAUAUUCUGUUAUACUCCACUUGAACGAAUCAAAAUAUAGAAAUCAUUAAAAGCGUAUCUUAACCUAUUUUGCGGCAGUUGGGCACUGGCUCAUUAUAGGAAUGGGUAGAAGUAAAAUCUUUCCAGUGCAUACUAAGUUUUUUACAGUUCGGUUGUCCCAUUGAACAUAGAUAUUGGGAUCUCCAGUCAACUAGGUUGGGUUGCCACCAUGGAAACUUUUGAUUAUUUUAUUCGUUUUAAUCCCAUCCCUUUCGAUGAACUUUCGACUUGCUCUCUUGUUAAACUUUUAGUUAGCGGAUCCGCAAUAUUCUCUUUUGAUUUCACAUACUCUAUAGAGAUAAUGCCUGUAGAGAGCAAUUGUCUAACAGUAUUGUGUCUACGACGUAUAUGUCGAGAUUUACCGUUGUACAUUGCAUUUUGUGCCCUUCCAAUUGUUGACUGACUAUCGCAAUGGAUGCAUAUAGCAGGCACUGGUUUUAUCCAACAUGGAAUAUCUUCUAGAAAGUUUCGUAGCCAUUCGGCUUCUUCUCCAGCUUUGUCUAAUGCAAUGAAUUCAGAUUCCAUUGUUGAUCUAGCUAUACAUGUCUGUUUUGAAGAUUUCCAUGAUAUUGCAGCACCUCCAAGUGUAAAGACAUAUCCACUUGUUGAUUUGGAGUCUUUAGUAUCUGAUAUCCAAUUUGCAUCACAGUAUCCUUCAAGUACUGCUGGAUAUCUCGAAUAGUGCAAUCAAAAAUUUUGGGUAUGUUUUAAAUACCCCAAAACUCUAACAAUAGCCUUCCAAUGAUCAGUGCUUGGAUUACUUUGUAUAUCGACUUAGCCUACUAAUUGAAUAGGCAAUAUCAGGUCGAGUGCAAUUCAUGACAUACAUUAAACUGUCAACAAUACAAGAGUAUUCCAAUUGAGACUUACUAUCACCAGUAUUGGAAACAAGAUGCAUACUAACAUUCAUAGGUGUUUUCAUAGGAAUAAUAUUAUAUUUCUUAAAUUUAUCAAGAAUCUUCUCAAUGUAGUGUGAUUGAGACAAUAUGAGACCAUCAGAUGUUCUAGAAAUUUUAAUUCCUAAUAUAACAUCGGCCACCCCUAAAUCCUUCAUUUCAAAUUUACUUGUUAGCAUCCUUUUUGUAGUUUGAAUUAUAGUAUCAUUAUUACACAUAAUCAACAUGUCAUCUAUAUAUAAACAUACCAUGACAUAUCCAUUUGGAGUGUUCCUGACAUAAACACAUUUAUCACACUCGUUAAUUUUGAAACCAUUUGACAUCAUAACCAUGUCAAAUUUUUCAUGCCAUUUCUUAGGAGCUUGCUUUAAUUCAUAUAGCGAUUUAACAAGUCGACACACUUUCUUUUCCUGCCCUGAGGCUACAAAUCCUUCAGGUUGCUCCAUAUAAAUUUCUUCAUCUAAUUUCACAUUCAAAAAUGCCGUUUUAACAUCCAUUUGAUGUAUAUCCAAACCAUUCAAUGCUGCUAUUGCAAUAAGCAUACGUAUGGAUUUUAUUCUUGUCACAGGAGAAUAAGUAUCGAAAUAAUCAAGACCUUCUUUUUGCUUGUAGCCUUUAGCGAUAAGUCUUGCUUUAUAUUUGUCAAUUGAUCCAUCUGCUUUCAUUUUCCUUUUGAAAAUUCAUUUACAUCCCAAAGGAUUAUUCCUAGAGUUUAACGUUAUUCUUUCGAAACCAAUCCGACAGAAUCAUCUGAAUGUAAAGAAUUGAUCAACAGGAUCCAAAAAGUAAUUCGAGCCCACCGACUUCACGAUGUUUCCUUAAAACGAAUUUGCCGCCUUCAAUAGUGCUAAAGGCGUCUAGCAAUCGUUUUCCAGGAUAGAACGAAUUUUCGUCUGCUACAGAAGCAGCACUGCAAUCUGUAGAAGUUCCAACGAACUCAACGAAGUAUGUUUUACUUCGAGACAAUAUCAGAACGAGAGAGAGGGGAAUGAGAUUCAAAGCACAGAAAGUUGGCAAUGAAAAUGGUGUAAAUUUUCUGGUAGAGAGGCUAGCUAUUUAUAGACUUGUCCGUGGCCAUUCGAACAGUCAUCACCUUUCAGACAAACCUCAAAAUUCGAACAGACAUGUUUUUAAAAGUCGCGUCUUUAAUAGUCGGCUAACAGUCGACUGUUUGGUCGGUAAACAGACGACUGUUAAAAGAAAAUAAAACACCCGGAAUAAGCCAAAAUUUAAAUUUUAUAAUGUACCCAAUAAUUUGAUUAUUUACAAUUUGGCCCAAAAUUUUAAAUAAAUUUUGUCCAAAAAGUUAAUAUAGUGCAAAGGUCCACCGGUACCCGCACCGGCACCGAACCGGACCAGACUCGAACACGGGCACGUGCUCGUGUCGUGCUGAGCAGAGUGGAGCCAGCCGGCCGGUCGGACGAAUGGUGGCGACGGCGCGCGCGUGUGGUUUAUGACCGAACCCAAUAGAAUAUAUGUCUUCCCCCUUCCAAAAACUAUUGGUACUCCUUGGGGCCCAAACCUUAUUCCAAACUUCCACCUUUUAAACCACACCAAAGUUUCCUAACUUUCCUAUGUGGGAUAAGUGUUUGGAAAAUCAAAUUCUUCCAUAAUACUUAGUUUAUGUGGGUUACUUUAACACUUAAUAUUUCAUUCAAUUUUAAAUGAUUUUCGAUAAAUAAAUAUAUCACGUUAAUCAUCUCGCGGAGUAGAACGUGAAUAUGUUAGGUCCCGUAUUAAUUAAAAGGUGGGUCGCACUGAAAUUUGGGCUCAAAGUUGACCUAUUUCAUAACCAUUUUUUCCAACAAAUGCAACUCUGCUGCUUCUUUUCCCGAUGGAGGUACUGUAAAAAAUUUCAAUUUCACAUUUUAGAGCCAAUUUGUUGAAUAAUUUAAUAACUUCUAUUCCAGGACAUUUCUAUAAAAUGUGUUUUUCUGUCAUAGAAGUUAGUUUUAUGACUUUUAUCUCUUGAUGAUAAUUGGGCUAAGAAUUUAGUUUAAGUAACUUAUUACCAUGAAGGAAAGAUGUAAAAUUUACAGGAGCGCGAUUAGUUUACUGAUGCAGAAGAAUGUAUAAUGUUACCAAGUGAAAAAGUUAUGCAGAGAAGUUUUGUGUUUUUUAAAGAAAUGUUAGUAAAAUUUACACAUUAAAGGGAAAAAUUUAAGGGACCACAACUUAGAAAUUAUUUGAUUUCGGAGGUUAUUAUUGUAUUUGGGGAUGUAGAUUCUAAAUAUUGCAACCCAGUCUGAGGCAAACUGGAGCAUGAAAUGUAUAUUCUUCUUUUUGGGGUGGUUGCAUGAAUAGCGGAAGAGGUUUAAUGUAUCAUGGCGUAUGUAGAUAAAAUCCUAGACAUUGUUAAAUUUAUCUCCCUAUUAAGUGGUGCCAUAUGUGGAGCAUUAUGUAAAAUCUAUUUAAUUAGACAGUGGUAUAGGUUCUUGUCUUAGGCGUACAUGUUUCAAGGAUAUCUUUCCAUUUCUAACUAAAAGUAGUGAUUUCAUAUUUCAAUACUUUAGAAGGAAAUGAAAGUUCUUCAAAUCUUUUUUAUCCUUUGACUUUUAUUUUUAAGAUGAUUGUUUUGUUAGUGAGUUACAUAGUGGAUUUGUAAUGGAUCUGAGUUUUAUCCAAUUGAGAGCUGGGAUAAGUGUUUUUAGCUGUUAGGAUAGUUGUAAUUCUUUGACUGAAUUAUGCCCUGAAAUUUCAUGUCGGUUGAAAUUUUGAUCCACAUUUUGCAGUGAUAAAUUAAGGAAAAGUUGAUGUCAUACUUACUAUAGUGCAUCUGACAAUCUGAGUGCUUACUCUCAUUUAUGUAUAUAUAUCCACAUCUGAUUUCUUUAUUGAUAUGUAUAAAUCUGGUUCAGCUACAUCAUGAUAUUAUUCUAAUAAUAUUCCACCCGAAAUUAAUUAUCUCAGAUGUAAUUAGCUGCCUCCAUAACUCGGACGUAUUUUGCAAAAAAAGAAGUUGCUUGAAAAGGAGCUUUUAAGCUUUGCCAACAUGCUUGUUAAUCAGCAUCUAACGCCUUAAAUUGCUCUACUGAUCUGUCUGACGGUGUUUGAACACUUCUAUAUCAUAUUUUUUUACUUCUUGGAACUGUCUCUUCGUGGACUCUUAUAAUUGUGUCAUUAUUAUCUUCAGAGAAAAAGAAACAAAAGAUAUCUGAAAUCCAAGCAGCUUUGGAUGAUGCUGAUGUUUUGGUAACGCAAAAGCAUCCCGCCUUUAUCUUGUCAUGAGUUUUCUCUCAGUACUAGCCUAAAAUGAGUUGUAUUUUUUCAUAUUCGAAAAAUGGAUCUUGAGGUUAGAAGUUUGCAGCCAAGCUUGAAGGCUACACUACUUGCUAAGCUCAGGGAAUAUAAAUUCGAUCUGAAUAAGUUGAAAAGGGAAGUAAAAAAAACUAGCUUUGCCAAAUUCAAAUGUUCCUAGCCAUGAGGAGUUGUUAGAAUCUGGAAUGGCUGGUGAAAAUUCGGUAUGCCUGUAUGCAAUUGCCUUGCUAAUUUUUUUGUCCUUAAUAUAUAUAGUAUGUAUAUAUUGCACAGAGAAUCGCACGGGCUUCGACAAUGUAGCAUCAUUUAGCCUCACAGGAGAUAAUUCAACUGUGUCUGUUUGCAAAAUGAGUGAAGACUUCUACUUUACCAUUAAAGAGUCGUGUAAAUAUUAUCCUUGAGCAUUAUUUACUUAAAACAAAAGUUAAUAUUAGGAUUCAGUAUCUUUUAUGGUUUUUGGUUUUCAAUUCCUGGAUCAACUGAAAAAUUAAGCGAUAGAUGUCAAUGUCAUGAUGAGAUCGUAUAGAUUAGCUAGAUUUAACCAAGAUGGAUGUUUUGUUCAAAAUGUCAAUAUACUUAUGUUCUUACUGUCUAUUAUCCGAUUUUAUUAUGCUCUAUCGGUUUUUACCAAAGAGAAGAGUUGAGCAGCGUUUGACUUGGGUAUCCUCCCUAGACAUAUUUUUCAGCUAACUCAGUGUUUAUCUCAUUGUUGCUUACUCUACAUAUGAACCAUCCUCCUCUGCUUAUUUAUUUAUUUUAAUUUUUAUGAUACAUUGUUCAUUUAUUUGCAAUAAUGAGCUUUGGUAGGUAGUUUUGCUUGGAGCAUGUUUGCCUAAUGAUAUGAUCCCGGGUGCACCAUCAAUUUCCAAGAAUUCAUUAAUUGAUUGGAGAAGGUCGAAGUCAAGAACCGAGGCAAGUCGAGACUUUGAAGUAGUUAAUAAAAUUGUUCACUUAUGUAUUCGAGCAACGGAGUCUAAAACCAUGAAGUUCACGUGUCAAGGAGUAAAUUCGAUGAAGGGGCCGAAGUCCAAUUCAAUUGGAAUUAGCUUGAUAAUUGUAGCCGAAGACGGAGCCAAAAUCAAAGGUUGUGCGACCGCACAGCUUCCAACCCUUGCGAUCGCAUAGGAGCAAACAGGGAAUUUUUUGGCAACAUUCGGAACAACCAUGUGAUCGCAUUAAAUUGUGCCAUGCGGUCGCAUAGCACUAAAUGGAGGCGAAAUCUUUCCUUUUCUCACGAAGUACUUUAAUUGGUUGAAUUUCUUAUUUUUGGAAACUCUAAUAUUAUUAGGACUUUAGCACACAUUUUUUUCAUAUUUUAGGAGUUUAUUUUUAUCUUUAAUUAUUUUUCAAUGUUUCUAGUAU